AUUGAACGCUGGCGGCAGGCUUAACACAUGCAAGUCGAGCGGAGAGAAGUAGCUUGCUACUGAUCUUAGCGGCGGACGGGUGAGUAAUGCUUAGGAAUCUGCCUAUUAGUGGGGGACAACAUUUCGAAAGGAAUGCUAAUACCGCACACGUCCUACGGGAGAAAGCAGGGGAUCUUCGGACCUUGCGCUAAUAGAUGAGCCUAAGUCGGAUUAGCUAGUUGGUGGGGUAAAGGCCUACCAAGGCGACGAUCUGUAGCGGGUCUGAGAGGAUGGUCCGCCACACUGGGACUGAGACACGGCCCAGACUCCUACGGGAGGCAGCAGUGGGGAAUAUUGGACAAUGGGCGGAAGCCUGAUCCAGCCAUGCCGCGUGUGUGAAGAAGGCCUUAUGGUUGUAAAGCACUUUAAGCGAGGAGGAGGCUACUUUAGUUAAUACCUAGAGAUAGUGGACGUUACUCGCAGAAUAAGCACCGGCUAACUCUGUGCCAGCCGCCGCAGUAACAC
rnacentral:rRNA from 1 species